CUGGAAUUUACAGAGACGUGCCCCGUGCCAGCACUCAGCUCUCUGAGAAGCCACGCAUCUUCCAUGCUCUGUGGGAAUGAGCAUGGGGCCAGGCACCUUCCUGGGACUCUGAAACUACGUGGGAGAGAUAUCUGAUGCUGCAUCAGUUAUGGGAGAAGAGCACUACUUGCUUAGAAAGACAGGUACAGUCACCUCCACCACUCCUUUGGUUCUGCAUUCCAGACGUCCUUGUUCUAUUCCAAGAAUCCCACUGCAAGACGCACAGAUGACCUGCAAGAACAAGGAAGAUUUUCACCAAGGGUUCAAGCAUCUGGCUAUGGCAGGGUUUCCCAUGGCUGACCAGAAAUCUAAUUCAAAGUGACAAGAACAAGGGCUAUCCUCAUGACUGGAUGAAACCUUCUUUCCCACCCACACCUUCACAAGACUUUCCUCAAACCUCCCUUACACUAGAAGCCAGGCAGUUUAGCUAAACACAAGGUCUCCUCUGCAGUUGUCUUUGUUGUUGAAGGUACAACCCAAACCUCCACAACUGAGGGGGUCCACCAUAUCUUCUGGGCUAGUG